rnacentral:rRNA from 1 species
UACGUAGGGGGCCAGCGUUGCUCGGAAUUACUGGGCGUAAAGGGUUCGUAGGCGGUGCGGCAAGUUGGGAGUGAAAUCUCUGGGCUUAACUCAGGGGCUGCUUUCAAAACUGCCGCGCUCGAGUGCGAGAGAGGUCAGUGGAAUUGCAGGUGUAGCGGUGAAAUGCGUAGAUAUCUGCAGGAACACCCGUGGCGAAGGCGGCUCGCUGGACCGCAACUGACGCUGAGGAACGAAAGCUAGGGGAGCAAACAGG